UACGUAGGUGGCAAGCGUUGUCCGGAUUUACUGGGCGUAAAGAGCGCGCAGGCGGUCGUUCAAGUCGCGUGUGAAAGCCCCCCGGCUCAACUGGGGAGGGUCACGCGAUACUGAUCGACUCGAAGGCAGGAGAGGGUAGUGGAAUUCCCGGUGUAGUGGUGAAAUGCGUAGAUAUCGGGAGGAACACCAGUGGCGAAGGCGACUCACUGGCCCGAUACUGACGCUGAGGCGCGAAAGCGUGGGAGCAACAGG
rnacentral:rRNA from 1 species